GCUGGGGAGGCAGCCAGGCCUCCUUAUGGCCAAAGACAUUAAAACCCUUUGCACGUAGGGGCUCCAUGGUGAGAGCUGACUGCGUGGUCAGGAGCUGCGCUGCCCCAGCCUGCCCGAGACCCAAGGGGCCCAAAGCAGAUGGCUUCUCUCAGAGUCUAAUUAUCCACCCGCCCAAAGCUCCAGACAGGCCCUUAUUGCGACAGUCAUUGUCUGUCUUCCUUGCCCUGGAAAGGGAGCAGAUGAGAGAGGAGGGCAGCUGGCGAGCUGGUCCACUGAGAGGGAGGCCAGUGUGGGCUGGGGGAUGUUCCAGAAACCCGCCCCAAGGAAGGUGCUUGUGUUUGGGAGAAGGUGCCCCGUUCUGGAGUCAGGGGAUGCUCUGGAGUCCUGGCUCUGCAGCUUCCCGAACAGGGGUUUUGUGAUGCUCCCUUAGGAAACUGGCUGUGAAGAUGCUUUGUAAAUUACAAAGACUGUGCACAUGUAACAGGUCAUAGAAUUGAUGGUGAUUCUUUACAACAGGUUUUCUGGCCGAGCACAAGUUCUCUUGGCCCUUUGAGCCUCAGUUUCUGCAUCUGUGGCAUAGGCCAAGCUCUGCCUGCUGUACAGGUUAUUGAGGAUCAACUGGGAUGGCAUAUAUUACACAAUUGUGUGUCCCCCAGAUGGAAGGACUGGCUGUUUCCCAUUAACAAAUAAUUGGGAGGUAACCUGAUUCAGCUUGGACAGAAAAAUCUACCCCUGAGCAGAGGCAUUUUGCUCCUUCCUUUUUGAGAUGGAGAAGAACAAAGAAGAAAACAGAAGGUGAGACAGAGAGAAAAUCUAUUGCUCUGUAGUCCCAGCAUCCCCAAGCAAAGGCACAGACACAGGUGACAAAAGUACUGGGCACUUCUGGGGGAUCAAGAAGCUUGUUCCAGCCAGAAGGAUCUCAACAGGAAACUCAUGAUCACAUAAGAGGAGCCCUGAAGGCUUUUGAUGCCAAACCCACCUGAAGUCACAGAACUGGAGUGUAGGCUGUGUUCAAGCUAGAAGAGACAUCCCUGCCCUCAAACCCAGAGAGGCCAGGCAAGCAGCUUCCGCUGCUGUCUGCUACCAGAUGGGUCACCCUCUAUCUCUUAGACUUGAGAUGACCCCUCCCUGGCACAUCACCUCUCCACCCAGAGCUGUUCCCGAUAUUUAUUAGGCAGGAUGGAAUUUCAUUUUAUACAUAACAAAUAAAUAAGGUGUUCUUCUAAGUUCUUUAUAAACGUCAACUCAUUUAAUCCAUAACAGUCCAAUGAAUCCCAUUUUACAGGUGAGAAAACUGAGGCCCAGGGAGUUUACACAGCUGGUGAAUGGUGGAGCUGGGAUUCUAGCCCAGGCAAUCUGGCUCCUGAAUGAAGGCUAGGCAAUGAUUCUCCAAACACUGGAGGAAUGGCCAGGUCAGGCUGUAGAUCCAACCUGUGGUAGGAGGGACAGAAGCUGUCCUCUGGAGGCCCUCAGCAAGCCUGGGGUAGGUGCAGGACUCAGGGGAGUGUGGAGCCUGUGUUGACCUUGAUUUCCCGGCUAGCAUGGGGGAGCCCCUGAGAAGGCGAUGGGGGGCCUGUGGUCUGAUGAGCCUGGGCCCACCUGGAGCAGUGAAGAGGUAGAGGGCCCCAUGGGAAGCUUCCAUUGCCUGGGCCUUUGCCUGAGACCACUGGACAUCUGGAUGAGAGAAAACAAAGGCUUGAUGUGUCAAGCAUUCCCUCUGUCCUCUCGGGCUUCUCGAAGCCCCUCUGGUCCACCAUGCUGCCUCCCCACUCCUCAGAAGCCUGACAUACUUAGUUUCCUCGGCCAGGAUUUUUCUUUUCUCCCCCAGUAUCCUCCUCCCUCAUCCCCCUGCCCCCCCAUUUCCAACCCAUCUUUCCCAUCUCAACUUGAACAUCACUUUCUGGGAUGUGGCUCUCAGUCCACAGGCAAUGUUGGCUUCUCCAGUUGUAGAUUCUCACAGUGUCCAGAACACUCA
rnacentral:lncRNA from 10 species